rnacentral:rRNA from 1 species
GACGAACGCUGGCGGCGUGCCUAAUACAUGCAAGUAGAACGCUGAAGAGAGAGCUUGCUCUUCUUGGAUGAGUUGCGAACGGGUGAGUAACGCGUAGGUAACCUGCCUUGUAGCGGGGGAUAACUAUUGGAAACGAUAGCUAAUACCGCAUAACAAUGGAUGACACAUGUCAUUUAUUUGAAAGGGGCAAUUGCUCCACUACAAGAUGGACCUGCGUUGUAUUAGCUAGUAGGUGAGGUAAUGGCUCACCUAGGCGACGAUACAUAGCCGACCUGAGAGGGUGAUCGGCCACACUGGGACUGAGACACGGCCCAGACUCCUACGGGAGGCAGCAGUAGGGAAUCUUCGGCAAUGGGGGCAACCCUGACCGAGCAACGCCGCGUGAGUGAAGAAGGUUUUCGGAUCGUAAAGCUCUGUUGUAAGUCAAGAACGGGUGUGAGAGUGGAAAGUUCACACUGUGACGGUAGCUUACCAGAAAGGGACGGCUAACUACGUG